GCCCAGCGCUGAAAUCCUCUAGCAGUUUGCUAGCAGGAGCUGUAGCGUAUAGGUGCCACUGUUGCGUUGUUUCGUGCGCCCAAAGUCCCCUUGAGUGGGGCUACAGUCCGUAGAAGGUGCUAGACCUGUACGGGCGAUGAGUCGACGCAUAGGUGGUUCCUCGGAGUCGGGUUGCCUGAGAUCGCAGCCCAAAGAGGGUGGUAAACCUCAUCUAAGGCUAAAUAUGACCACGAGACCGAUAGCAAACAAGUACCGUGAGGGAAAGUUGCAAAGAACUUUGAAGAGAGAGUUCAAGAGGGCGUGAAACCGCUGAGAAGGAAACGGAUAGAGUUGACGAAACUCGGCGGCGUUCAUCCGGUCCGCUUAGCGGCGCCAUGGCUUUGCGCCUCGAUGAGGUCGAAGUCGCGGAGAGCUGUUGAGUGCGUGAUCGGUGUAUUUGCCGUCGGUAUGCGCCGAGAGUUUGGCUGUCGUGCGUUGAAGUGUACGUAGUGGACCCGCCCCUUGGGGCGUGGAAACCUCCGUACGCAAAGGCGUAUCGACGGUCAGGCUUUGUGGUGCGCGCCUACGUUGCGGCGCAGCGGUUGCCGUAAGGCUAGCGUGUCUAUUGAGCGGUCGCGUGCGACUUGCUUAUAGGUGUUGCGAGUCGACGGUGAUGCAGUUGCGUGGUGGUGCGUAUCUCGGUGUAAAAGUCGACCACCUAUCCGACCCGUCUUGAAACACGGACCAAGGAGUCUAGCAUAUGCGCGAGUCAUUGGGUGGCAAACCUAAAGGCGUAAUGAAAGUAAAGGUCGCCCUGAUGCGGCUGAUAUGGGAUCCGCGUGGUUGCGAUCGCGCGGCGCACCAUAGCCCCGUCCUCGUUGCUUGCAAUAGGGCGGAGGAGGAGCGCAUACGCUGGGACCCGAAAGAUGGUGAACUAUGCCUGAGCAGGAUGAAGCCAGAGGAAACUCUGGUGGAGGUCCGAAGCGGUUCUGACGUGCAAAUCGAUCGUCUGACUUGGGUAUAGGGGC
rnacentral:rRNA from 1 species